rnacentral:rRNA from 1 species
GUAAUGAAUUUGGUUCUGGUUUUUAGGUUGGAUUUUUCUUAUUUAAAUGCAUGCAAGUAAGUUUACGCUCCGGUAAGUAAGUAAAGUAGGUUAAAUAAAAAGGUGGAUUAUCUUUUAUUUAUUUAUUUUAUAAAAAAUCACUAAUAGUAACAGAGAAUAAUGUUUAUUAAUUAGAUUUACACCUGCAGCAGAGAAAUCUUAACAAUAACUCUUAGGUUGAUUAGGAUGAGAAAAAGAGGUUUGGCUAAGUCUCGUGCCAGCAGCCGCGGUUACACGAAUAUAAACCUUUUAAUUUAAUGAGUGGCCUAUUGAGGAGCUUAACUAUUAAAAGUAAAUAAUAAGAGAUUAGAAAAUAGGGUAGAAUCUUUACUAAUUUCGAACUAAUUAUUUUUAAAAGACUUCGAAACCUGGGGGGUAGACUCGGAUUAGAUACCCGAUUAUUCUUAGGAUUAAAAAAGAGUGCCGGUGGAGUAUGGGGGAAGCCCUAGGAAACAAAGAACUUGGCGGUUGUCUAAGUCUGACUGGAGGUGCCUGCUUGAGGAAACCGGUGACCCACGUAGUACCUUACCUUUUCUUGAAAUAUCAGUUACUAUAUCAUCGUCGUUAACUUCCUAUUAUAAAUUAAGUUGAGCAAAAGCCCAAUGAGGUUAGACGUCAGAUCAGGAUGGUGCUUAUGAAAAGGGCGAUGGUUGGCAGCAUUGGAAAGUAACCUCUUUAGUUUGGAACUAACACUUAAAACUUUAGUUAAAUUGGAUUCAGUAGUAAAAGUGGAGAAUAAAGACGCUUUGAAGUAAGUUAUUAGGCUUCGUACACAUCGCCCGUCACCUGCGGGGUAAAACCUGGAGUAAGUCGUAACAUAGUGGGCGGACCGGAAGGUGUGGCCUGGUUAG